GCCUGAGUGGCUCAGUCGGUUGGGCAUCCGACUUCAGCUCGGGUCACGAUUUCACAGUCCGUGAGUUCGAGCCCCGCGUCAGGCU
rnacentral:tRNA from 1 species